GUGCUUGCUUUGGCAGUACAUAUACUAAAAUUGGAAAGAUACAGAGAUUAGCAUGCCCCUGCACAACGCUGACACACAAAUUCGUGAAGCAUUCCAUUAAAAA
rnacentral:snRNA from 1 species